GAUUAAGUUAUUAAGGGCGCACGGUGGAUGCCUUGGCACUAGAAGCCGAUGAAGGACGUUACUAACGACGAUAUGCUUUGGGGAGCUGUAAGUAAGCUUUGAUCCAGAGAUUUCCGAAUGGGGAAACCCAACAUGAGUUAUGUCAUGUUAUCGAUAUGUGAAUACAUAGCAUAUCAGAAGGCACACCCGGAGAACUGAAACAUCUUAGUACCCGGAGGAAGAGAAAGAAAAUUCGAUUCCCUUAGUAGCGGCGAGCGAAACGGGAAGAGCCCAAACCAACAAGCUUGCUUGUUGGGGUUGUAGGACACUCUAUACGGAGUUACAAAGGACGACAUUAGACGAAUCAUCUGGAAAGAUGAAUCAAAGAAGGUAAUAAUCCUGUAGUCGAAAAUGUUGUCUCUCUUGAGUGGAUCCUGAGUACGACGGAGCACGUGAAAUUCCGUCGGAAUCUGGGAGGACCAUCUCCUAAGGCUAAAUACUCUCUAGUGACCGAUAGUGAACCAGUACCGUGAGGGAAAGGUGAAAAGCACCCCGGAAGGGGAGUGAAAUAGAACCUGAAACCGUGUGCUUACAAGUAGUCAGAGCCCGUUAAUGGGUGAUGGCGUGCCUUUUGUAGAAUGAACCGGCGAGUUACGAUUUGAUGCAAGGUUAAGCAGUAAAUGUGGAGCCGUAGCGAAAGCGAGUCUGAAUAGGGCGUUUAGUAUUUGGUCGUAGACCCGAAACCAGGUGAUCUACCCUUGGUCAGGUUGAAGUUCAGGUAACACUGAAUGGAGGACCGAACCGACUUACGUUGAAAAGUGAGCGGAUGAACUGAGGGUAGCGGAGAAAUUCCAAUCGAACCUGGAGAUAGCUGGUUCUCUCCGAAAUAGCUUUAGGGCUAGCCUCAAGUGAUGAUUAUUGGAGGUAGAGCACUGUUUGGACGAGGGGCCCCUCUCGGGUUACCGAAUUCAGACAAACUCCGAAUGCCAAUUAAUUUAACUUGGGAGUCAGAACAUGGGUGAUAAGGUCCGUGUUCGAAAGGGAAACAGCCCAGACCACCAGCUAAGGUCCCAAAAUAUAUGUUAAGUGGAAAAGGAUGUGGCGUUGCCCAGACAACUAGGAUGUUGGCUUAGAAGCAGCCAUCAUUUAAAGAGUGCGUAAUAGCUCACUAGUCGAGUGACACUGCGCCGAAAAUGUACCGGGGCUAAACAUAUUACCGAAGCUGUGGAUUGUCCUUUGGACAAUGGUAGGAGAGCGUUCUAAGGGCGUUGAAGCAUGAUCGCAAGGACAUGUGGAGCGCUUAGAAGUGAGAAUGCCGGUGUGAGUAGCGAAAGACGGGUGAGAAUCCCGUCCACCGAUUGACUAAGGUUUCCAGAGGAAGGCUCGUCCGCUCUGGGUUAGUCGGGUCCUAAGCUGAGGCCGACAGGCGUAGGCGAUGGAUAACAGGUUGAUAUUCCUGUACCACCUAUAAUCGUUUUAAUCGAUGGGGGGACGCAGUAGGAUAGGCGAAGCGUGCGAUUGGAUUGCACGUCUAAGCAGUAAGGCUGAGUAUUAGGCAAAUCCGGUACUCAUUAAGGCUGAGCUGUGAUGGGGAGAAGACAUUGUGUCUUCGAGUCGUUGAUUUCACACUGCCGAGAAAAGCCUCUAGAUAGAAAAUAGGUGCCCGUACCGCAAACCGACACAGGUAGUCAAGAUGAGAAUUCUAAGGUGAGCGAGCGAACUCUCGUUAAGGAACUCGGCAAAAUGACCCCGUAACUUCGGGAGAAGGGGUGCUCUUUAGGGUUAACGCCCAGAAGAGCCGCAGUGAAUAGGCCCAAGCGACUGUUUAUCAAAAACACAGGUCUCUGCUAAACCGUAAGGUGAUGUAUAGGGGCUGACGCCUGCCCGGUGCUGGAAGGUUAAGAGGAGUGGUUAGCUUCUGCGAAGCUACGAAUCGAAGCCCCAGUAAACGGCGGCCGUAACUAUAACGGUCCUAAGGUAGCGAAAUUCCUUGUCGGGUAAGUUCCGACCCGCACGAAAGGCGUAACGAUUUGGGCACUGUCUCAACGAGAGACUCGGUGAAAUCAUAGUACCUGUGAAGAUGCAGGUUACCCGCGACAGGACGGAAAGACCCCGUGGAGCUUUACUGUAGCCUGAUAUUGAAAUUCGGCACAGCUUGUACAGGAUAGGUAGGAGCCUUUGAAACGUGAGCGCUAGCUUACGUGGAGGCGCUGGUGGGAUACUACCCUAGCUGUGUUGGCUUUCUAACCCGCACCACUUAUCGUGGUGGGAGACAGUGUCAGGCGGGCAGUUUGACUGGGGCGGUCGCCUCCUAAAAGGUAACGGAGGCGCUCAAAGGUUCCCUCAGAAUGGUUGGAAAUCAUUCAUAGAGUGUAAAGGCAUAAGGGAGCUUGACUGCGAGACCUACAAGUCGAGCAGGGUCGAAAGACGGACUUAGUGAUCCGGUGGUUCCGCAUGGAAGGGCCAUCGCUCAACGGAUAAAAGCUACCCCGGGGAUAACAGGCUUAUCUCCCCCAAGAGUUCACAUCGACGGGGAGGUUUGGCACCUCGAUGUCGGCUCAUCGCAUCCUGGGGCUGUAGUCGGUCCCAAGGGUUGGGCUGUUCGCCCAUUAAAGCGGUACGCGAGCUGGGUUCAGAACGUCGUGAGACAGUUCGGUCCCUAUCCGUCGUGGGCGUAGGAAAUUUGAGAGGAGCUGUCCUUAGUACGAGAGGACCGGGAUGGACAUACCUCUGGUGUACCAGUUGUCGUGCCAACGGCAUAGCUGGGUAGCUAUGUGUGGACGGGAUAAGUGCUGAAAGCAUCUAAGCAUGAAGCCCCCCUCAAGAUGAGAUUUCCCAACUUCGGUUAUAAGAUCCCUCAAAGAUGAUGAGGUUAAUAGGUUCGAGGUGGAAGCAUGGUGACAUGUGGAGCUGACGAAUACUAAUCGAUCGAAGACUUAAUCAA
rnacentral:rRNA from 1 species